rnacentral:rRNA from 1 species
AACCCAGACUCCUACGGGAGGCAGCAGUGAGGAAUAUUGGUCAAUGGCCGCAGGGCUGAACCAGCCAAGUCGCGUGAGGGAUGACGGUCCUAUGGAUUGUAAACCUCUUUUGUCAGGGAACAAAGGCGGGGACGUGUCCCCGGAUGAGUGUACCUGAAGAAAAAGCAUCGGCUAACUCCGUGCCAGCAGCCGCGGUAAUACGGAGGAUGCGAGCGUUAUCCGGAUUUAUUGGGUUUAAAGGGUGCGCAGGCGGAGGUGCAAGUCAGCGGUCAAAUUGCGGGGCUCAACCCCGUACUGCCGUUGAAACUGCAUCCCUUGAGUGCGCGAGAAGUAUGCGGAAUGCGUGGUGUAGCGGUGAAAUGCAUAGAUAUCACGCAGAACUCCGAUUGCGAAGGCAGCAUACCGGCGCGCAACUGACGCUCAUGCACGAAAGCGUGGGUAUCGAACAGGAUUAGAUACCCUAGUA